GUGUACUGAGGACGAUGGGAGGGGUGAGGAGCCGAGGAGAGCCUGGACGAACCCUCUCCCGUAAACCUAGCGCACCAGGUCCAAUCCACUCCGUCCUCGAGCCCCACGCCAUUCAUCUUCCUCUCCGCGCCGUCCGGCCUCCCCUGCUCCACGACCCUCUGCCUCAGGGCCUCCCGCACCGCCGCCUUCUCUUCCGGGCCUCUUCUCUGGCGCUCGAGAUGCAGCCGGGGCGACCUCCUCCUCUUCCUCUCCUCCUUCCCUGCCUCCGGAUCUAGACAAGUGAAAUCUGGAGGGGAGACGAGUAAAGGGCGACGGAGGCGGCACUCGAGCAGAUGAGAGGGAGAGAGAAGGAAGAAGAGGCGGUGCUCGAGCAGAUGAGAGGGAGAGAGAGGUAGGUGCAGCAAGGCGACGGACGGGAGAGGGGCGAAGGCGAGCUCCAGCGCGAGCGCGUGGACCCGUCACCCACGCCGGCGAGGUCCUCGGCCCCGAGCUGUGCCUCUACCACCGCGAAGGGGACUGCUGCGACCACGCUCGUGCGCACACACACUGUGCCGUCUCCAGGUGCCAGUUGAAGUUACUGCCGGGCUUUAUUGCCCUCCUCUAAUUUGGUGUUGUGGGAGAAAGAAGAAGAGCAGGCAUGUUCUCUGUUUCUACAUCCAGCGUCCACACGGCUAGAUCGACGGGUCUAAACUCUUGAAUACAGAAAGAAUAAGCUACUAGCAUUCCUAAUGUGCAAGUAAACCUACUGGGAUUAUGACUGCAAAAAAAAUUCAUGACAUAUGUUGAAGUAUGGCCUUGAAAGGUAAGUUGAAUGGCUGGAGAUGCUCAAAAGAUGUAACAAAGAGAGAAGAUAAGAGGGAGAGAGAGAAGGAGAAGAGGGAGUACUCGAUUCGAUCUGCAGGAGAGAGAGAAGAUAAGAGGGAGAGAGAGAAGGAAGGAGAGGAGGGAGAACUCCGUUGCCGCCGCGUGCCGUACUUCUGGAUCGAGCGCUGCCUGACCAAGGGAUAAGAGUAGGAGGAUGAGUGGAGCAGCUGCUGAAGCAGGCGCGGCGCUGGUGCGCUGCUGGCGAAGCGGUGGUCAACGGUGCCGUCGACGUCGUCCUUGGCAGAAGGAUUUUGCAAGUUAAAUACUCAUGUGUGCUGAACUGAAAAGUUCUCUAUGCAACAUCUAUUGCAGGCAGGGAUCAACUUUGGUGGCAUCCGAUGCUGGCAGGCCACGGGGUUAGAGCAGAGGAAGCUGACAUGGUGUUCGAAAUUCAGAUGGUCAUUGUGAUAGAAGAAAGUGCAUAAAGAAUGAACAAGGAAAAGCUACAGAUUGAUAUGUCCAGAUUUGAGGAAUCGUUUGGGUUUUAUCUACUUGUCCAUGAAGGAUGCUUCAUGAUGAAAAUUCCUCAUAUAAUGUUUUUUGAGAGGAAGAGUUUAGGGAGUACUAUAUCUCUGAAGAUAUGCCAGAGAAUUGAAUAUGAACUCACAUAAAAGAAUCGAGAUUACAAACGUAGAGGCUUCACUAGAAGAGAGGCCCUUGCUGUAGAUCACAAGAGCCAUGUUUUUUGUAGGUACAAGAACCAUAUUUCUAUUUACGAUUAUCUCCCAGCAAUGAAAGUCGCAUGUGACAAACAUGAAUAAGCUAGGGGAAAAGUCAACUGCUCUCUUCCUUUUUGUUUGAGUGUUAACUUCUGUUUUCAAUUUCCAACUAUUUUCUAUA